CCUACGGGUGGCAGCAGUGAGGAAUAUUGGUCAAUGGGCGUAAGCCUGAACCAGCCAAGUCGCGUGAGGGAUGAAGGUUCUAUGGAUCGUAAACCGCUUUUAUAAGGGAAUAAAGCGCGGGACGUGUCCCGUUUUGUAUGUACCUUAUGAAUAAGGAUCGGCUAACUCCGUGCCAGAAGCUGCGGUAAUACGGAGGAUCCGAGCGUUAUCCGGAUUUAUUGGGUUUAAAGGGUGCGUAGGCGGAUUUUGAAGUAAGCGGUGAACGUCUGUGGCUCAACCAUAGAAUGGCCGUUGAAACUGGGAGGCUUGAGUAUGUUUGAGGCGGGCGGAAUGCUUGGUGUAGCGGUGAAAUGCGGAGAUAUCUCGCAGAACCCCGAUUGCGAAGGCAGCCUGCCAAGCCAUGACUGACGCUGAUGCGCGAAAGCGUGGGGAUCAAACAGGAUUAGAUACCCCGGUAGUC
rnacentral:rRNA from 1 species